rnacentral:rRNA from 1 species
AGUGAACGCUGGCGGUAGGCCUAACACAUGCAAGUCGAACGGCAGCACAGGAGAGCUUGCUCUCUGGGUGGCGAGUGGCGGACGGGUGAGGAAUACAUCGGAAUCUACUCUGUCGUGGGGGAUAACGUAGGGAAACUUACGCUAAUACCGCAUACGACCUAGGGGUGAAAGCAGGGGACCUUCGGGCCUUGCGCGAUUGAAUGAGCCGAUGUCGGAUUAGCUAGUUGGGGGGGUAAAGGCCCACCAAGGCGACGAUCCGUAGCUGGGCUGAGAGGAUGGGCAGCCACACUGGAACUGAGACACGGUCCAGACUCCUACGGGAGGCAGCAGUGGGGAAUAUUGGACAAUGGGCGCAAGCCUGAUCCAGCCAUACCGCGUGGGUGAAGAAGGCCUUCGGGUUGUAAAGCCCUUUUGUUGGGAAAGAAAUCCAGCUGGCUAAUACCCGGUUGGGAUGACGGUACCCAAAGAAUAAGCACCGGCUAACUUCGUGCCAGCCGCCGCCGUAA